rnacentral:lncRNA from 1 species
GGAGAGUGGGAAGAGCCACCAAAAUGUUUACAUGCAUGUGUAUUAACAGAAGAAAUUAUGAGAAGACAGAACAUAAUUCCCAAGAGGACAAAGAAUAAAAAGAUUUAUAUCCAGUCAGGGGAUUAUGUUGAAUUUGUGUGUCUAACUGCAUAUCAAAAGGCACAAGGAUCACCUGAGUUUCGUACACAGUGCAUUGAUGGUCACAUCAAUUAUCCCACCUGCUCAAAAUAAGUUACAACUCUUAGUAGACUUCAUAAAUGAUCAUUUGUUUUGAAAGGUUGAUAAUGUCCCCUCCAAACACCAACGAUCACCUAAUAAAUACAGUAAUACUAGACAAGAGAAAUACUCUUGUAAGUUGUUGGUCAGGGUUGUCUUAUAGAACCUAAGAGACUACUUACUUGCAUUGCAUUGGUGGAAGAUAAACACAUAUUGCAGAAGGCACAAUGUACUUCAUCACAGGACCUGAUGCACCCUGAGCUGGAACUGUUCUGAAAGUCUCCUACCUAAGGACCAGCAUUCAUCAUACCAGCAGUUGUCAUAUAAGGAUUCAAAGAAGAAAAUCAACCAACAGCCCAAACCAACUAGCAUACCUAUAAGCAAGGCAAAAGGAAGUGCUAUCUUUUAUCUUCUUUUCUGAAUAGUUCAGUUUGAUUGUCUAGGAUACUCACACCAAAAAUAAAAAAUAAAUAAAUAAAUAAAUAAAUAAAUAAAUAAAUAAAUAAAUAAAUAAAUGCUAGUAUAUUGCU